AUGUAAUCUGCAGAAGAGAAAU
rnacentral:piRNA from 1 species